UACGGGGGGUGCGAGCGUUGUCCGGAAUCACUGGGCGUAAAGGGCGCGUAGGUGGCUCGUGAAGCGUGCGGUGAAAGUCCGAGGCUCAACCUCGGAUCGGCCGUGCGGACUCGCGGGCUCGAGCGUUGUAGAGGCGGGUGGAAUUCCGGGUGUAGCGGUGGAAUGCGUAGAGAUCCGGAAGAACACCGGUGGCGAAGGCGGGUCUCUGGGCCAUUACUGACGCUGAGGAGCGAAAGCGUGGGGAGCGAACAGG
rnacentral:rRNA from 1 species